AUACGGAGGGUGCGAGCGUUAAUCGGAAUCACUGGGCGUAAAGGGUGCGUAGGCGGCUUGAUAAGUCGGAUGUGAAAGCCCCGGGCUUAACCUGGGAAUUGCAUUCGAUACUGUCAGGCUAGAGUAUGUCAGAGGUUGGCGGAAUUCCUGGUGUAGCGGUGAAAUGCGUAGAUAUCAGGAGGAACACCAGUGGCGAAGGCGGCUAACUGGGGCAAUACUGACGCUGAGGCACGAAAGCGUGGGGAGCAAACAGGAUUAGAAACCCUAGUAGUCC
rnacentral:rRNA from 1 species